AAAUAUUAUAAAGGAAACAUCUUUGUAUGUACAGUAAUUAAAAUCUGUAUUUUUCUUGAAGGUAUAAAGAAUGGAAAUGCAUUUUUGAGGGAAAACAAAGUUGUAGAAAGUUUGUGAAAGAGGAAUCUUUGGAAAGGAAUUUUAUGUGUGAUCAAGAAUAAGAUUUGAAUGAAUACAUUUUAAUGGCAAGUCAUUGUGCAAACCUAGAAUUUGUUUUUCUCUCUGUUAAAAGGACAAAGUGUUCUUGGACUACUGGUCUGCUCUUGAUAAGAAUUUAAAAGGUUUUUUAUCUUUUAGGUAAUCUGUUCAGAAAACACAGAUUCUGAAUUUUGCCCAAAUAAUUUUCUGCAUUGUCUUUAUCAGGUCUUUGAUUACUUAAGAAAGCUGAACUCUUUCUAUCAAGAAAAACUAAGGCCAAAAGUUGUUCUUGACGACAGGAUAGCCCUUGAUUAUGUUUUAGCUGAGCAAGGAGGUGUCUGUGCUGUGGCCAACACCACCUGCUGUACUUGACCUAACAUUUCUGUGGAAGUUGAAACAGUUAUGAAGAUCCCUGAGCAAGCCACUUGGCUUAAACAGAAGGAUUCCCUGGACAGCCCUCCCCUUCUGUUUUGGCAAGACAGACCUGAUUCCUCCAGCUUUGCCUUCAGGAGGAAUAUGCCCAUUUGUGAAGGACCCCACUUCUCCUGACACUUGCCCUCUCUCAGGUAACCCUGGCCUGCAUGCGCCUCACAGUCUGCACCCCACCAGCCAACCUUGGGCAGCUGGGACUCUCCAGGCCUGUGGAGCUAAGGCCCAUCUCCAACCACCUGCACAGUCACAUGAAUGGAGGGAGCCCACCUCCCACCCCAAAAUCACUUUGAUGCAGCUGAUGAAGUGGGUCUCCACGUGGAGUUACUGUCUGCUGGGGUCCCUAGC